UCCAUGAGACUAUUAUCCCCAUUUAACUACAAAAAACAAACAACAGAAAAGAGCCAGAAAUGCAGCUAUAGCUCAACUGGAGGAAUGUUAGUCUUGAGCUCAGGGGCAAAAGCCCAGGCCCUGAGUUCAAGCGCCAGGACUGGCACACAUACACAUGCAAAAAAAUUAUCUGUCUCAUAUCACACAGCACAUUAAACAAGAAACAUAGCCCUAUGAGAAGAAAGGGAUCAUCAAAUAUUAGCCUUUUGAGCUCCUAGGAUUAAUGGACAUUUCUGAGGGUCAACACUAGCAAUUUUCAAUAUGUCACAGUCAACUUGGCUUCCUCCUUUUUAGCAAAAGUAUACUUAGUGAAGUUCUACACUGCAGUAUCUAAGAGAUAAUUGACAGUAUUUUAUUCCAGACUGAACACACAUGGUACUAAGAACAAGUUGAACACAUAUGGAAAUAACUAAGAUCUUACCACCUUGCAUUCUUGAUGAUGAAGCACAUUUAUAGGAAACUGGAUCAUUCAAGGCUGGUGCUGAUAUUAGUUAUGUGAUUCU